rnacentral:rRNA from 1 species
UACGUAGGGUGCAAGCGUUAUCCGGAAUUAUUGGGCGUAACGAGCUCGUAGGCGGUUUGUCGCGUCUUCUGUGAACACUGGAGGCUCACCCUCCAGCCUGCAGUGGGUACGGGCAAACUAGAGUGCGGUAGGGGAGAUUGGAAUUCCUGGUGUAGCGGUGGAAUGCGCAGAUAUCAGGAAGAACACCGAUGGCGAAGGCAGUGGGCUGGGCCGGCACUGACGCUGAGGAGCGAAAGCGUGGGGAGCGAACAGG